rnacentral:rRNA from 1 species
UAGUUGUCGGGUCUUCAUUGACUUGGUAACGUAGCUAACGCGUGAAGUUGACCGCCUGGGGAGUACGGUCGCAAGAUUAAAACUCAAAGGAAUUGACGGGGACCCGCACAAGCGGUGGAUGAUGUGGAUUAAUUCGAUGCAACGCGAAAAACCUUACCUACCCUUGACAUGUAUGGAAUCCUGCUGAGAGGUGGGAGUGCCCGAAAGGGAGCCAUAACACAGGUGCUGCAUGGCUGUCGUCAGCUCGUGUCGUGAGAUGUUGGGUUAAGUCCCGCAACGAGCGCAACCCUUGUCCCUAGUUGCUACGCAAGAGCACUCUAGGGAGACUGCCGGUGACAAACCGGAGGAAGGUGGGGAUGACGUCAAGUCCUCAUGGCCCUUAUGGGUAGGGCUUCACACGUCAUACAAUGGUCGGAACAGAGGGUCGCCAACCCGCGAGGGGGAGCCAAUCCCAGAAAACCGAGCGUAGUCCGGAUCGCACUCUGCAACUCGAGUGCGUGAAGCUGGAAUCGCUAGUAAUCGCGGAUCAGCAUGCCGCGGGUGAAUACGUUCCCGGG